GCGCGGGCCUCUGGGUUCCGAGGGUGCUGGUGACCUGAGAAGAAGGGAGGGGACAGAGGAGGAGACACACCUGAUCAGCCCGGGAGACUUUGGAGGAGGCGGGCCGGCCGGGAGGAAGUGGCGGGGAGGAGGGACCGGAGCACCCCAGGAUCGAAGAGGGCGCACGGGCCCGGCCCUCCCACGCGCCCUCCAGGGACCCGGCAGCCAGACAGACGGACAGGCGGACCGCUAGGGAGCUCAAGUACCCGGACACACGCACGAGCGCAGAACAAAGGGCCGGACAUGCUCCAGCCCGCUCCGCCUGCGCCUCGGCCUUGCGCGCGGGGGCCCGGGUUACCUGCGCAGGAAAUCAUUUCCAUUUCGUGGCGGGAAGGUAACCCAAAAGUUGCGUGGCUGCACCUGUGAUAACAGGGAUCCGGGAUGUCUGCCUCACUGUCAGCUCCGGGAAGCCCUCCCUGCUGUCAGGAGCCAGCUGUGAUGUAAAGAAGUUUGUGCUGCAUGAGAGAGAUAGCACCUGAAGAAAAUGAGGCCCUGGAGGAUGAGAGACUCUAAAGGAAAAGGGAAGGGCCUGCUGUCUUCCAGCCACGCCAGCCCCCAACUGAGAAGCUGGUGCCCUUGGUGUGGUGGAAGCAAGGUGCCAUGUGAUAAGUAAGCCUCCAGAGAGGCCUGCAUGGCAGGAUCCAAUGUCUUUAGCCAACAGCAUCUGGGAACCUGAGACCUGCCAACACCCUUGUGAGUGAGCCUGGAAGUGGACCUCCUGCUCUUGAACCUUGAGGUGACUAUAGUGCUGGCUGACACCUUGACUGCAGUCCCUGAGCUGGGGGGCCCAGCUGAUCUACUCCCAGAAUCCCCCCUACUAAAACAGUGAUAUAAUAAAUGCUUAUUGUUUCAAGCUGGUA
rnacentral:lncRNA from 1 species